AUUGUACGCUGGCGGCGUGCUUAACACAUGCAAGUCGAUCGGUAACAGGUGUAGCAAUACAUGCUGACGAGAGGCGGACGGGUGAGGAACGCUUGGGAAUCUGCCUAUCAGCGGGGGACAACCCGGGGAAACCCGGGCUAAUACCGCAUACGCUAUACGGAGGAAAGCCGGGGACCGCAAGGCCUGGCACUGAUAGAUGAGCCCAAGUCGGAUUAGCUAGUUGGCGGGGUAACGGCCCACCAAGGCGACGAUCCGUAGCUGGUCUGAGAGGACGAUCAGCCACACCGGAACUGAGACACGGUCCGGACUCCUACGGGAGGCAGCAGUGGGGAAUAUUGGACAAUGGGCGAAAGCCUGAUCCAGCGACGCCGCGUGGGUGAAGAAGGCCUGCGGGUUGUAAAGCCCUUUCGGUAGGGACGAAAGCUCUUGCCCUAACAAGGCAGGAGGUUGACUUAACCUACAUAAGAAGCACCGGCUAACUCUGUGCCAGCCGCCGCAGUAAAAC
rnacentral:rRNA from 1 species